CAGCAGCCGCGGGAAUACGAAGGGUGCAAGCGUUAAUCGGAAUUACUGGGCGUAAAGCGUGCGUAGGCGGUGGUUUAAGUCCGUUGUGAAAGCCCUGGGCUCAACCUGGGAAUUGCAGUGGAUACUGGGUCACUAGAGUGUGGUAGAGGAUAGUGGAAUUUCCGGUGUAGCAGUGAAAUGCGUAGAGAUCGGAAGGAACAUCUGUGGCGAAGGCGACUAUCUGGGCCAACACUGACACUGAGGCACGAAAGCGUGGGGAGCAAACAGGAUUAGAUACCCCGGUAGUCCCUGUCUCUUAUAC
rnacentral:rRNA from 1 species